GGUGCUAUAGUGUAGUGGUUAUCACUCGGGAUUUUGAUAUGAGAAUCCCAGCAAUAUAUUCCCGGAACCCAGGUUCGAACCCUGGUAGCACCU
rnacentral:tRNA from 1 species